rnacentral:rRNA from 1 species
UGCCAGACUCCUACGGGAGGCAGCAGUGGGGAAUAUUGCACAAUGGGGGAAACCCUGAUGCAGCGACGCCGCGUGAGUGAAGAAGUAUUUCGGUAUGUAAAGCUCUAUCAGCAGGGAAGAAAAUGACGGUACCUGAUUAAGAAGCCCCGGCUAACUACGUGCCAGCAGCCGCGGUAAUACGUAGGGGGCAAGCGUUAUCCGGAUUUACUGGGUGUAAAGGGAGCGCAGGCGGCCUGCCAAGUCUGGUGUGAAAACCCGGGGCCCAACCCCGGGCCUGCAUUGGAAACUGGCGGGCUGGAGUGUCGGAGGGGCAGGCGGAAUUCCUAGUGUAGCGGUGAAAUGCGUAGAUAUUAGGAGGAACACCGGUGGCGAAGGCGGCCUGCUGGACGAUGACUGACGCUGAGGCUCGAAAGCGUGGGGAGCAAACAGGAUUAGAUACCCGCGUAGA